UACGGAGGGUGCAAGCGUUAUCCGGAUUUACUGGGUUUAAAGGGUGCGUAGGUGGGCAGGUAAGUCAGUGGUGAAAUCUCCGGGCUUAACUCGGAAACUGCCAUUGAUACUAUCUGUCUUGAAUAUCCUGGAGGUGAGCGGAAUAUGUCAUGUAGCGGUGAAAUGCUUAGAUAUGACAUAGAACACCCAUUGCGAAGGCAGCUCACUACGGGAUUAUUGACACUGAGGCACGAAAGCGUGGGGAUCAAACAGG
rnacentral:rRNA from 1 species